GGACUGUCCCUCUUAAACAGGGGCACUUGGGAGGUAUGUAAUUUCAGUCCUGCAGUAUUUUCAGGACACAUGUUCGAUGUCUUCAAGCUCUGAUUGAGGACAUUGAACAAAGCAUUAGGACAUUGCAGGCACUGUGAGCGGUGAGCAAUAAGUGAUUCAUUGGACGACAAAAAGUAACUGAUUAAAUACUAGGUGUUUUGGGCUGCGGAUCUAGAUGCUGGAUUAGAGGUAAUUUUUUUUAAAUAUAAAAACAAUGUCUGAAUGAAGCAAAGUGGGG